rnacentral:rRNA from 1 species
UACGUAGGCAGCAAGCGUUGUUCGGAGUUACUGGGCGUAAAGGGUGUGUAGGCGGUUCUUUAAGUUUGCUGUGAAAUCUCCCGGCUUAACCGGGAGGGUGCGGUGAAUACUGAGGGACUAGAGUACGGGAGAGGAAAGUGGAAUUCCGUGGUGUAGCGGUGAAAUGCGUAGAUAUCAGGAGGAACACCGGUGGUGUAGACGGCUUUCUGGACCGUAACUGACGCUGAGACACGAAAGCGUGGGUAGCAAACAGG